rnacentral:rRNA from 1 species
AAUUGAAGAGUUUGAUCAUGGCUCAGAUUGAACGCUGGCGGCAGGCCUAACACAUGCAAGUCGAGCGGUAGCACAGAGAGCUUGCUCUCGGGUGACGAGCGGCGGACGGGUGAGUAAUGUCUGGGAAACUGCCUGAUGGAGGGGGAUAACUACUGGAAACGGUAGCUAAUACCGCAUAACGUCGCAAGACCAAAGUGGGGGACCUUCGGGCCUCAUGCCAUCAGAUGUGCCCAGAUGGGAUUAGCUAGUAGGUGGGGUAACGGCUCACCUAGGCGACGAUCCCUAGCUGGUCUGAGAGGAUGACCAGCCACACUGGAACUGAGACACGGUCCAGACUCCUACGGGAGGCAGCAGUGGGGAAUAUUGCACAAUGGGCGCAAGCCUGAUGCAGCCAUGCCGCGUGUGUGAAGAAGGCCUUCGGGUUGUAAAGCACUUUCAGCGGGGAGGAAGGCGGUGAGGUUAAUAACCUCAUCGAUUGACGUUACCCGCAGAAGAAGCACCGGCUAACUCCGUGCCAGCAGCCGCGGUAAUACGGAGGGUGCAAGCGUUAAUCGGAAUUACUGGGCGUAAAGCGCACGCAGGCGGUCUGUCAAGUCGGAUGUGAAAUCCCCGGGCUCAACCUGGGAACUGCAUUCGAAACUGGCAGGCUAGAGUCUUGUAGAGGGGGGUAGAAUUCCAGGUGUAGCGGUGAAAUGCGUAGAGAUCUGGAGGAAUACCGGUGGCGAAGGCGGCCCCCUGGACAAAGACUGACGCUCAGGUGCGAAAGCGUGGGGAGCAAACAGGAUUAGAUACCCUGGUAGUCCACGCCGUAAACGAUGUCGAUUUGGAGGUUGUGCCCUUGAGGCGUGGCUUCCGGAGCUAACGCGUUAAAUCGACCGCCUGGGGAGUACGGCCGCAAGGUUAAAACUCAAAUGAAUUGACGGGGGCCCGCACAAGCGGUGGAGCAUGUGGUUUAAUUCGAUGCAACGCGAAGAACCUUACCUGGUCUUGACAUCCACAGAACUUUCCAGAGAUGGAUUGGUGCCUUCGGGAACUGUGAGACAGGUGCUGCAUGGCUGUCGUCAGCUCGUGUUGUGAAAUGUUGGGUUAAGUCCCGCAACGAGCGCAACCCUUAUCCUUUGUUGCCAGCGGUUGGCCGGGAACUCAAAGGAGACUGCCAGUGAUAAACUGGAGGAAGGUGGGGAUGACGUCAAGUCAUCAUGGCCCUUACGACCAGGGCUACACACGUGCUACAAUGGCAUAUACAAAGAGAAGCGACCUCGCGAGAGCAAGCGGACCUCAUAAAGUAUGUCGUAGUCCGGAUUGGAGUCUGCAACUCGACUCCAUGAAGUCGGAAUCGCUAGUAAUCGUAGAUCAGAAUGCUACGGUGAAUACGUUCCCGGGCCUUGUACACACCGCCCGUCACACCAUGGGAGUGGGUUGCAAAAGAAGUAGGUAGCUUAACCUUCGGGAGGGCGCUUACCACUUUGUGAUUCAUGACUGGGGUGAAGUCGUAACAAGGUAACCGUAGGGGAACCUGCGGUUGGAUCACCUCCUUACCUUA